rnacentral:sRNA from 1 species
UUUUUCUCUAGGUUGCACAAUAAGAUCACAAUGCUAUUAUCUAGAUGAUCUAUUCCGUCUUCCGUAAGAGUCUGUGUGCAAAGAUCACGAAAGAAAGUUCCAAUACCUGCAUUCAUA